UACGAAGGGUGCAAACGUUGCUCGGAAUCAUUGGGCGUAAAGCGCACGUAGGCGGCCUCGCAAGUUGGAUGUGAAAUCCCUCGGCUCAACCGAGGACGUGCAUCCAAAACUGCUUGGCUUGAGUACUGAAGAGGAUCGCGGAAUUCCAGGUGUAGCGGUGAAAUGCGUAGAUAUCUGGAGGAACACCGGUGGCGAAGGCGGCAUCCUGGACCGGCAUUGACGCUGAGGCGCGAAAGCCAGGGGAGCAAACGGG
rnacentral:rRNA from 1 species